rnacentral:rRNA from 1 species
UACGUAGGGGGCUAGCGUUGUCCGGAAUCAUUGGGCGUAAAGAGCGUGUAGGCGGCUCGAUAAGUCCGCUGUGAAAGUCCAGGGCUCAACCCUGGGAUGCCGGUGGAUACUGUCGGGCUCGAGUCCGGAAGAGGCGAGUGGAAUUCCUGGUGUAGCGGUGAAAUGCGCAGAUAUCAGGAGGAACACCAAUGGCGAAGGCAGCUCGCUGGGACGUGACUGACGCUGAGACGCGAAAGCGUGGGGAGCAACCAGG